rfam:Nicotiana attenuata strain TT chromosome 3, whole genome shotgun sequence.
UCCGUUGUAGUCUAGGUGGUUAGGAUGCUCGGCUCUCACUCGAGAGACCCGGGUUUCCCGGCAACGGAA